rnacentral:rRNA from 1 species
AGAACGAACGCUGGCGGCAGGCUUAACACAUGCAAGUCGAGCGCUGUAGCAAUACAGAGCGGCGCACGGGUGAGUAACACGUGGGAACAUGCCUUUCGGUUCGGAAUAACUCAAGGAAACUUGUGCUAAUACCGGAUACGCCCUUACGGGGAAAGAUUUAUUGCCGAAAGAGUGGCCCGCGUUGGAUUAGCUAGUUGGCGGGGUAAAAGCCCACCAAGGCGACGAUCCAUAGCUGGUCUGAGAGGACGACCAGCCACACUGGGACUGAGACACGGCCCAGACUCCUACGGGAGGCAGCAGUGGGGAAUCUUGGACAAUGGGGGAAACCCUGAUCCAGCCAUGCCGCGUGAGUGAUGAAGGCCCUAGGGUUGUAAAACUCUUUCGGCGGGACGAUAAUGACGGUACCCGCAGAAGAAGCUCCGGCUAACUUCGUGCCAGCAGCCGC